rnacentral:misc_RNA from 1 species
UUAAUCAUCCUCCUAACAGAAAGCUGGCUUUAGCCGCUGCGAGAAUGAAAGGGGAAUUUCCAGAAAGGAUGGGACAACCUGAAUGCCAGUACUAUCUAAAGACAGGAACUUGCAAGUUUGGAGCCACAUGCAAGUUUCAUCAUCCUAAAGACAAGGCUGGGAUUGCUGGAAGAGUAUCCUUAAAUAUUUUGGGGUAUCCACUUCGACCGAAUGAGAUUGAGUGUGCUUACUACUUGAGAACUGGACAAUGCAAGUUUGGUAGCACUUGCAAAUUCCACCAUCCUCAGCCAGCUAAUGUGAUGGUUCCAUUGCGUGGUUCCCCUGUUUAUCCUACUGUCCAGUCUCCAACUACUCCAGGUCAGCAAUCCUACCCAGGAGGACUUACAAACUGGUCAAGAGCGUCUUUCAUUACCAGCCCACGUUGGCAAGCUCCUUCAAGUUAUACACCUCUAAUUUUACCUCAAGGAGUAGUAUCUGUUCCAGGCUGGAAUGCGUACAGCGGUCAGCUGGGAUCAGUUUCUUCUCCAGAGGGUCAGCAGCAAACAGGAAACAGUCAGAUAUAUGGAACCUCACGCCAGAGUGAAUCAAUGAAUGCAGGAUCUCAAGGGACACUUUCUCCAUUCCGUUCUGGCUCUGUCCCAGUAGGAUUUUAUACAUUGCAAAGGGAGAAUGUUUUUCCUGAGAGACCUGGCCAACCUGAAUGUCAGUUUUACAUGAAGACAGGGGACUGUAAGUUUGGUCCAGUUUGUAGGUUCCAUCACCCAAGAGAAAGGCUAAUUCCUCCUCCAGACUGUGUGUUGAGUCCCUUAGGCCUCCCUUUACGCCCGGGAGAACCUUUGUGCAUCUUCUAUUCGCGUUAUGGUGUCUGCAAGUUUGGUCCGAGUUGCAAGUUUGACCACCCUAUGGGAAUUUUCACAUACAACUUCUCUGCAUCAUCCUCAGCUGAUGCCCCAGUUCGACGUUUUCUAGGGACAUCAUCAGGAUCUGCUGCAUUAACUUUAUCACCAGAAGGGCUUGUUGAAGCGGGUUCAACAAAGCCCAGGCGACUCUCACUGUCAGAGCCUAGACAGAUGCCUUCUGGUGAUGAUAAUAUUGACACAGAAGGAUAAUGCUGCCUCAAGAUUUACUAUUUACAAUCUUUUGGUCGAUAAACAAGUGUUCUCUGUAAACUCAUUUCCCGUUUCAGGAGAUGUACAGAGUUCAUGCCAAGUUGAAAAUGCAAUUCAGUUGACAGACUUUUCUCCUCUGAAUUUCUUGCUGCAUUGUAUAAUCUGCAAAUAUUGUCACAUUUGGUAAAACCUGUGUGAACAUUUCACCUGUCUCAAGGCCCUUUUCUCUGAUUUUGUGUUCAAAUUUUCUUCCAGUUUGUUGUAUAAAGCUAUUCUUUUGCAAGUUAUGAAGCCUCUGUCUGUCCACUUUAUUGCCUUGCAUCUCAAAAGAGUUGGAAACAUGCUACUUGCUUUGCAAGUUUGUGGAAUUGAAGAUCAUCAUAAUUCACAUUCCAAUCAUCAUCUUCAUCUUCAUCUUCAUUGUCCUUGUCAUUUUCUUCAUCUUCUUCUUC